rnacentral:rRNA from 1 species
AACGAACGCUGGCGGCAGGCCUAACACAUGCAAGUCGAACGCUGAAGCAGACUCCGGUCUGUGAAUGAGUGGCAGACGGGUGAGUAACACGUGGGAACCUUCCCUUCGGUACGGAAUAGCUCCGGGAAACUGGAAUUAAUACCGUAUACGUCCUCCGGGAGAAAGAUUUAUCGCCGAAGGAUGGGCCCGCGCCGGAUUAGCUAGUUGGUAGGGUAAUGGCCUACCAAGGCAACGAUCCGUAGCUGGUCUUAGAGGAUGAUCAGCCACACUGGGACUGAGACACGGCCCAGACUCCUACGGGAGGCAGCAGUGGGGAAUAUUGCACAAUGGGCGCAAGCCUGAUGCAGCCAUGCCGCGUGAGUGAAGAAGGCCUUAGGGUUGUAAAACUCUUUCAUCGGUGAAGAUAAUGACGGUAGCCGAAGAAGAAGCCCCGGCUAACUCCGUG